rnacentral:misc_RNA from 1 species
UACAGCGGGUGCAAGCGUUCAUCGGAAUUACUGGGCGAAACGCGCGAGUAGGUGGUUUGUUAAGUUGGUUGAGAAAGACCAGGGCUCAACCUGGGAACUGCAUCCAAAACUGGCAAGCUAGAGUACGGUAGAGGGUGGUGGAAUUUCCUGUGUAGCGGUGAAAUGCGUAGAUAUAGGAUGGAACACCAGUGGCGAAGGCGACCACCUGGACUGAUACUGACACUGAGGUGCGAAAGCGUGGGGAGCAAACAGG